UGGGGAAUAUUGCACAAUGGGCGCAAGCCUGAUGCAGCCAUGCCGCGUGUAUGAAGAAGGCCUUCGGGUUGUAAAGUACUUUCAGCGGGGAGGAAGGGAGAAAAGUUAAUACCUUUGCUCAUUGACGUUACCCGCAGAAGAAGCACCGGCUAACUCCGUGCCAGCAGCCGCGGUAAUACGGAGGGUGCAAGCGUUAAUCGGAAUUACUGGGCGUAAAGCGCACGCAGGCGGUUGAUUGAGUCAGAUGUGAAAUCCCCGGGCUUAACCCGGGAAUUGCAUCUGAUACUGGUCAGCUAGAGUCUUGUAGAGGGGGGUAGAAUUCCAUGUGUAGCGGUGAAAUGCGUAGAGAUGUGGAGGAAUACCGGUGGCGAAGGCGGCCCCCUGGACAAAGACUGACGCUCAGGUGCGAAAGCGUGGGGAGCAAACAGG
rnacentral:rRNA from 1 species